rnacentral:rRNA from 1 species
UACGUAGGGCGCAAGCGUUGUCCGGAAUUAUUGGGCGUAAAGAGCUCGUAGGCGGUUUGUCGCGUCUGCUGUGAAAACCUAAGGCUCAACCUUGGGCUUGCAGUGGGGUACGGGCAGACUAGAGUGGCGGUAGGGGUGACUGGAAUUCCUGGUGUAGCGGUGGAAUGCGCAGAUAUCAGGGAGGAACACCGAUCGGCGAAGGCAGGUC